UUUGUUCGGUGUCUCGGAGUUGUCAUAUUCCUAUUAAUGAUUGUGACAGCUUUUAUAGGAUACGUACCACCUUGGGGUCAGAUGAGCUUUUGGGGAGCUACAGUAAUUACAAGCUUAGCUAGCGCCAUACCAGUAGUAGGAGAUACAAUAGUGACUUGGCUUUGGGGUGGUUUCUCCGUGGACAAUGCAACCUUAAAUCGUUUUUUUAGUCUCCAUUAUUUACUCCCCCUUAUUCUAGUAGGCGCCAGUCUUCUUCAUCUGGCCGCAUUGCAUCAAUAUGGAUCAAAUAAUCCAUUGGGUGUACAUUCUGAGAUGGAUAAAAUCACUUCUUACCCAUAUUUUUAUGUAAAGGAUCUAGUAGGUCGGGUAGCUUUUGCUAUCUUUUCUUCCAUUUGGAUUUUUUAUGCUCCUAAUGUUUUGGGGCAUCCCGAUAAUUAUAUACCUGCUAAUCCGAUGUCCACCCCGCCUCAUAUUGUGCCGGAAUGGUAUUUCCUACCGAUCCAUGCCAUUCUUCGCAGUAUACCCGACAAAUCCGGAGGUGUAGCCGCAAUAGCACCAGUUUUUAUAUCUCUGUUGGCUUUACCUUUUAUGAAAAAUAUGUUUAUUCGUAGUUCCAGUUUUCGCCCGAUUCACCAAGGAAUCUUUUGGUUGCUUUUGGCAGAUCGCUUAAUA
rnacentral:lncRNA from 1 species